ACGUCGUUAGGGGCGAGCGGAGGGGGGAAGACGUAGGUUGCAUGCGGUUAUCGAGAGUCCUGGGGCGAAAGCGUACUAGGGUGGUUAGAUAGGACAGAUGUGAGAUCCCCGGGCUCAACCUGGGAAAUGCAUUUGUGACGGUAUGGCUAGAGUACGGCAUAGGGGGAUGGAAUUCCGCGUGUAGCAGUGAAAUGCGUAGAUAUGCGGAGGAACACCGAUGGCGAAGGCAAUCCCCUGGGCCUGUACUGUCGCUCAUGCACGAAAGCGUGGGGAGCAAACAGGAUUAGAUACCCCGGUAGUC
rnacentral:rRNA from 1 species